rnacentral:rRNA from 1 species
UGGGGAAUCUUCCGGCAAUUGGACGAAAGUCUGACGGAGCAACGCCGCGUGAGUGAAGAAGGUUUUCGGAUCGUAAAACUCUGUCUUUUGGGGCGAACGUGAGUAUGGUGAAGCAAUCAUAGUCAGUGACGGUACCAAAGGAGGAAGCCACGGCUAACUACGUGCCAGCAGCCGCGGUAAUACGUAGGUGGCAAGCGUUGUCCGGAAUUAUUGGGCGUAAAGAGCGCGUAGGCGGGAUAGUCAGUCUGUUGUAAAGUGCGGGGCUCAACCCCGUGAUGGCAAUGGAAGCAGCUAUUCUUGAGUGCAGGAGAGGAAAGUGGAAUUCCCAGUGUAGCGGUGAAAUGCGUAGAUAUUGGGAGGAACACCAGUGGCGAAGGCGACUUUCUGGACUGUGUCUGACGCAUGAGGCGCGAAAGCCA